ACUCUAUACGAUGGAUAUCUUGGCUCUUGAAUCGAUGAAGAACGCAGCGAAAUGCGAUAAGUAAUGCGAAUUGCAGAACUCUGUGAGUCAUCAAAUCUUUGAACGCAUAUUGCACUUCCUUUUGGGAGUAUACUUGUUUGAGUGUAGUUAAAGGUUUCUAUCUAUAAUAGAUGAAUAUUGGAGUUAGUAUACUAUACUUUCUCUAAAAUGAAUAUAUUCCUAUAUAAGAAUAGUAUUUGAGGUAGUUGCCACAAGUACUAUAUUAUAUAAGAAUAUAUUUAAUAAGAUCUAUCUCAAAUCAAGUAAGAUUACCUGCUGAAUUGAAGCAUCUAAGUAAGCAGAGGAAAAGAAAAUAACAAUGAUUCUCUUAGUAACGGCGAGUGAAUAGGGAAUAGCCCAAGCUUAAAUCAGCUUUGCUGAGUUGUAGUGUGUAGAAUCUAACUUUUGUUCAGUGUUAAUAUCAUAUAAUUUGGUUGGAAAACCAAGUAAUAGAAGGUGAUAACCCUGUAAUAUGAUAUGACUGAAUGUUGGAUUCUUGGAGUCGAGUUGUUUGGGAAUGCAACUCGAAGUGGGUGGUGAACUCCAUCUAAGGCUAAAUAUGUUCAAGAGACCGAUAGUGAACAAGUACCGUGAGGGAAAGAUGAAAAGAACUUUGAGAAAAGAGUGAAAUAGUACUUGAAAUCGUAUAGAGGUUAAGCAGAGUUGGUGGAUAUUGUAUUUGAAUGUACUAUAAUCAAUUGAUUAUGGCUUAUUCUUGUACAUAGUAUAAUUUGUGUGUGAAUUGGUUAAUAUUAAAACGAAUAUGCGCAUAAAUGAUAUAAAUCCUACAUCUCUGUCCCGUCUUGAAACACGGACCAAGGAGUCUAUCCUGUAUGCAAGUUGUAUGGUGUAAAACCAAUAAGCGUAAUGAAAGUAAGAGGUGUGAAAGUUGUAAAAGUGUCAACACCUGCCGAUCUAAAUUCUUUGAUGAAAGAUUCGAGUAUGAGCAUAUAGGGUGGGACCCGAAAGAUGGUGAACUAUGCCUGAAUAGGACGAAGCCAGGGGAAACUCUGGUGGAGGUUCGAGUGGAUUCUAACGUGCAAAUUGAUCUUUAAAUUUGGGUAUAGGGGCGAAAGACUAAUCGAACCAUCUAGUAGCUGGUUCAUUCCGAAAUUUCCCUCAGGAUAGCUGCAACUUAUGAAAUAGUUUUAUGAGGUAAAGCGAAUGAUUAGAGGUUUCUGGGAUGGAAUAUCCUGGACCUAUUCUCAAACUUUCAAUGGGUAAGAAAAGUGUGAUGUUUAAUUAAUCAUACUAUUUGAAUAUGAGUUGCAAGUGGGCCAUUCCGGGUAAGCUGGACUGGCAAUGCGGGAUCAACCGAACGCUAUGUUACGGCGCCAGAUUGUUCGCUCAGUUGGAUGUAAAAGGUGUUAGUUCAUCUAGACAGCAGGACGGUGGCCAUGGAAGUCGGAAUCCGCUAAGGAGUGUGUAACAACUCACCUGCCGAAUGAAGUAGCCCUGAAAAUGGAUGGCGCUUAAGCGAACAGCCUAUACAUAGCCAUUAUUGUUAGGAUUAUACAAUAAUGAGUAGGAAUGCGUGAUGAAUGUUGUGAAGUAUGAUGUGUGAACAUGUAUGGAACAUUCAUUAGUGCAGAUCUUGGUGGAAGUAGCAAAUAUUCAAAUGAGAUCUUUGAAGACUGAAGUGGAGAAAGGUUCCAUAGGAAUAGUGAUUAUCUAUGGGUUAGUCGAUCCUAAGAGAUAGGUGAAAUCCAUUGAAAAGUCAAUUUCGAUUGACAUUUAUCGAAAGGGAAUCAGGUUAAUAUUCCUGAACCAAAGAGAAGGGUAAACGGUAACGUAUAGGGGUCUCAAGACAUUGAUGUUAUUCCCAGGAAGAGUUUUCUUUUCUUGUUAACAAAUGGGCAGUGCUUGGAAUCGAUUCAGUCGGCGAUAAGCAUUGUUAUUUGGUAAAGUACUACUAUUUUGUGUAGUAUCUGGUGCAAUGACAUGAAUCCUUGAAAAUUGAGACUUUUGUUUUCCCGAAGCUUUGGUCGUACUAAUAACCGCAUCAGGUCUCCAAGGUGAAUAGCCUCUAGUUAAUAGAAUAAUGUAGAUAAGGGAAGUCGGCAAAUUAGAUCCGUAACUUCGGGAUAAGGAUUGGCUCUGAGGGCUAAGUGGGUUUAAGGUGUUAAUAGUAUAAGUUUGAUAUGGGAUUGAGUGUUUUGAGUUGCUUCGGUGAUUUGAAAUAUUUGGUUCUAAUGUCUUAGUUGUCUAUUUUCAUCUACCACUAUGAAUAGCUAACUCAGAACUGGUACGGACAAGGGGAAUCCGACUGUUUAAUUAAAACAAAGCAUUGUGAUGGUGUGAAAGAUAUGUUGACACAAUGUGAAUUCUGCCCAGUGCUCUGAAUGUGAAAGUGGCGUAAUUCAAGCAAGCGCGGGUAAACGGCGGGAGUAACUAUGACUCUCUUAAGGUAGCCAAAUGCCUCGUCAUCUGAUUAGUGACGCACAUGAAUGGAUUAAUGAGAUUCCCACUGUCCCUAUCUACUAUCUAGCGAAACCACAGCCAAGGGAACGGGCUUGGAAAUAUCAGCGGGGAAAGAAGACCCUGUUGAGCUUGACUCUAGUUUAACAUUGUGAAAUGACUUUAGAGGUGUAGCAUAGGUGGGAGGAGGUAACUCCGAUCCUGAAAUACCACUACUCUGAAUGUUGUUUUACUUAUUCCAUGAAAGAGGAUACUUACUUAA
rnacentral:rRNA from 1 species